rnacentral:rRNA from 1 species
AGAGUUUGAUCCUGGCUCAGGAUGAACGCUAGCUACAGGCUUAACACAUGCAAGUCGAAGGGCAGCAUUUUUAGUUUGCUUGCAAACUGAAGAUGGCGACCGGCGCACGGGUGAGUAACACGUAUCCAACCUGCCGAUAACUCCGGAAUAGCCUUUCGAAAGAAAGAUUAAUACCGGAUAGCAUACGAAUAUCGCAUGAUAUUUUUAUUAAAGAAUUUCGGUUAUCGAUGGGGAUGCGUUCCAUUAGUUUGUUGGG